rnacentral:rRNA from 1 species
ACUCCUACGGGAGGCAGCAGUCGAGGAUCUUCGGCAAUGGGCGCAAGCCUGACCGAGCGACGCCGCGUGCGGGAUGAAGGCCUUCGGGUUGUAAACCGCUGUCAGAGAGGCGGAAAUAUAGGGGGGUUCUCCCUUCUAUUUGACCUAUUCUCAGAGGAGGUGCGGGCUAAGUCCGUGCCAGCAGCCGCGGUAACACGGACCGCACGAACGUUAUUCGGUAUCACUGGGCUUAAAGGGUGCGUAGGCGGCUUUGCAAGUUGGGUGUGAAAGCCCUCGGCUCAACCGAGGAAUUGCGCUCAAUACUGCCGAGCUCGAGAGAGACAGAGGUAAGCGGAACUGAUGGUGGAGCGGUGAAAUGCGUUGAUAUCAUCAGGAACACCGGUGGCGAAGGCGGCUUACUGGGUCUUUUCUGACGCUGAGGCACGAAAGCCAA